rnacentral:hammerhead_ribozyme from 1 species
AUGCAGCUGACGAGCCUCAAAUAGAGCGAAACGCAUGUCCUGGAU